AACACUCGACAUGCCUGACGUUGUUUUUUCCAUCGAUUUACCUUCAAUUCGACGUCGAUUAUCGUCGACGCAAACAGUUUGACAGUUCUCUUCAGUUGAACUUGUUCGGACUUGAUUGCAACCGAGUCGAACAAAUUGUUGUUGGUUUUAGGCUUUGGGAGGAUUUUGGCCAGUUUAAAGAUUGCGGUCUUCGUGGCGGUAUAGGAGGAAGAGGAGGACGGGAAAUAUGGAUUACUCGGCGAGCCAUUCCGGAAGACGGGACGGGAAGGAACCAGUUUGCGAUCGAGGAAGCCGUUAGUGUUUGGUGUUUUACUUUCCGCGGGAGGUUGCCUCCAUAUCUAAUGGAACUGGCAACAAACAUAUUCUGAUCUGAUCCUGCCGGAAACCAUGCGUCCCCGUGUGGUCCCGCGUGGCUUCCGUAGAACCCAAGGAAGCAGCCUCUCGUACUCCGGUAAACAUCAAUCCAUCGGAGGUUCAAGAUCGUCGCCAAGGUGUCGCAUCCGGGUUUUGAUCAGCGCGUCGAGGAGCAAAAGUCCAGCACGGCCAAGAUGCUGCCACGGCCGCCUCCAACAUCCAAGCCGGAAGCUGCGGUCAAGGCAAAUCCCGAAGGAAGCAAAGUUGGAGAAGAAUCGGCGAUCCGCAAGUGAAAUUAAGUGAACAAGUAAAUAUUUUUGUGAAAUUUUGACAGUUGAAAUAAAAAAAAAACAAUAAAAACAAAACAACAGUUUUUUUCAACUGCAACAUAACCUAAAAAUCCGAAAUGACAGCACACGACAAUAGCACGACAUUCUAAAUAACAAAACCGUGCGACGUCGGUCGAAUGUCGUACGACAAUGUCGUACAAUUUCGAUCAUCGAUCGCACGACAAAUACGACAUUUUGGUGCAAAAACGUAUGACAUUCGCGCGAAAGUCGCACGACAUAGUCGAGCGACGUCGUACAAUUG